AUUGAACGCUGGCGGCAUGCUUUACACAUGCAAGUCGAACGGCAGCGCGGGCUUCGGCCUGGCGGCGAGUGGCGAACGGGUGAGUAAUGCAUCGGAACGUGCCCAGUAGUGGGGGAUAGCCCAGCGAAAGCCGGAUUAAUACCGCAUACGACCUGAGGGUGAAAGCGGGGGACCGAAAGGCCUCGCGCUAUUGGAGCGGCCGAUGUCGGAUUAGCUAGUUGGUGGGGUAAAGGCUUACCAAGGCGACGAUCCGUAGCUGGUCUGAGAGGACGACCAGCCACACUGGGACUGAGACACGGCCCAGACUCCUAAGGGAGGCAGCAGUGGGGAAUGUUGGACAAUGGGGGCAACCCUGAUCCAGCCAUGCCGCGUGCGGGAAGAAGGCCUUCGGGUUGUAAACCGCUUUUGUUCGGGAAGAAAUCCUCUGGGCUAAUACCCCGGGGGGAUGACGGUACCGGAAGAAUAAGCACCGGCUAACUACGUG
rnacentral:rRNA from 1 species